CGGCGCCCUGGCCCCGGAGCGGUUUAGCCGCUGCCUUGUGUCGCGGCCGCGUGCCGGGCGAUGGCCGCCCAGACCCCCGGGCCCCCGAUCGCCAACCCCGGGGCUUCCCACCCGCGCCUCGGUGGAGGGAGGCCCCGGAGGCGCCAUCGCUCGCGCCUGCCACCUGGACGCUGAAUAAACUGGGAAACAAUUAGGUGGCCGGGUGGGGAAGGUGCUGGGUGACUGCACUGCCAGGCGGCCGCGUGCCCCCGCGCUCGCAGGGGUUGGCGAUUGGGGGCGGUUGGGAGUUUGUGUUUAGGGAGGAAGGUGAGAGGUGCGGGAUCUGCCCACGAGGGCAGUCGCUCUCGGAGAAUCGGGGAAUGGCUCUGUCAGGUCGCAGGCCCUCCUCCGCCUUUAUCCCCAUCACGCACAAAAAGAAUGGGCCUUGCAAGGGAUGUUUAUUAUGCACUUUUAAGUGACUAUUCAGAAAAGAGCAGGAGGCACAAUAAAAAAGGCUUCUGCCCCACCAAUUCCCUUCCCUUGAAGAAAAAAAGAAAGAGAAAGCCACCCACAAAGGGCCAACCCAAGGGGCUAAUAAAAUCUGAGAGCUGUUAGUCCCAAAUACAUUUUGUGCGGGAGUUUGUGAAAGCAACUUUUGCCGAGUGCAAACGUCAGACGAUGAAACUGAAAAUACUUCCAAAGUCACAGGCUCCUCUUCCAAUCACAGCGCCUCACAUUUCCAGCGCUCCGGGAUAAAGUUGUCUGAGGAAAAUAAAAGUGUUGAUAAACCAUGGUUCCAGAUUGUUACUUAUUUUACAACCCUCGGUUUGCAAUCGAUCAUAGCUUGGGCCUAACAGGACUGACUCCGGCUUUUCAUUUGUUUAUAGUGUGUGCAAUGUUUUAUGCCUCAAAUGUACCAUGUCAGCUAUGUAAAAUAAUGCAGUAUUUUUGUUCGCAUCCUGGAUCCACUUGCACAAUGGUUUUUGUUUAAAAUGAAGGCGGUGAUUAUUUUCCAUUAUUACAGAAUGGAAACUUCAAUCCUAAACAUCUGAGAAACAUAGCUGAAGAAUCCACUGCUGAGCUGGGAAAAGCCGAGAGAAGCUCGUGUUUACUUGAUUCACAAAGUGCAAUUGACUCUAUUUAACUUGACCAAUUUAAAUCCAAUCUAAUAAACCACAAGCUUGCUUCCGCUUCAAAAAAGCCAACAGGCCACCCUGAGGCCCAAAGUCCAUCUUUCUCAGUGCCAUGAUGUCAAAUAAACCUGUGAUGCCCUUGUUUUUGCUAAGCGAAUGGCUCAUAUGUUGCAGUUAAUUUUUCUGGUGCAACAAUCACAUUGUAAUUUUCCAUGACUCUUCUCUAUAAGUACAAAGAAACCCUGGAAUCAUGGAAUUUUGAGCCAGAGGGAACCUCUUCACUUUACAUGGGAAGAAAUGGAGAGAGAGAGAGAGAGAGAGAAGUGAAGUGCCUGCCCGCUCUCACACGGGCUCUACCACCUGCCUCCAGGUCUCCCUGCUCCCUAACAGGUGGUUUCUCCCCGCCUCAGCCUCUUGAAGAGAUGGAAGGAAGGAAACUGGGAAAGGACUCAAGAGCAACACUUCAGGAAGCACAGGGAAACCAAGGGAAUGCAGUAACAGAAUUAACAGGAUGUGGGAAAGGUUCGAGUGAUAAAUCCAGGUGGUUAAAUGAGUUUCAAAGCAUCAGGAGCCAGGUCAUAAUAGAGAAACCAUGGGAAGGGCAGAGGCUGUGUAAAAAAUAAUCUGGGAAAAUAAGGACUGUGGAGAGAAAGCAAGUGCUUUUUAAGAUGUGUCAAACAUAGGGUCAAAGUUAGAUCAAGAGGAGAAAAGGAAAAGUCUGGGGGAAUGUCUGUAGACAGGCAGAAAGAGAGUGAGUGAACUGAUGUCCUAAAGAUUCCUUCUGUACGGCGCUGCUGAGGAAGAGAGCGUGACGAACGGCCUCACGAGAAUGAGCUAGUGCAGGGCUGAGAGACACAGGAAUGGCCGCAGUCAUGGUGAAUUGUGGGCAGUGGUGAGAGUUUCGUCCCAGGAGCAUGAUGAGAAUGCCAGCGCCUGACCCACAUCAAGGCUGCUUCAUCUGCGGCGAGAUGGAGAGUGUCCUAAACCAGUCAGCCCUCAGAUGAAGAAGCGUGCUGUCCAAUGUCACCCAGCAGCUGGGUGCCGGGCAGAGGAAAUUCAGGCUUUCUCUUCUGCAUCUGCGCAUGCCCACGGUCACGCCCCUUUCCUGGUUCGGAUUUGGAAUUGUUCAGUUAGGAAGGGCUCUGAAGAGAUGCCUUUCGAUUUCCUUGGGGUUAGCUGGUUCAAAUCUCCCUCAUGUAUAAACUAAGAAUGUGUUCUACAGUGUUCCUCAGCUUAUUAGUUUUCCUGGAAGAAAUGGAUGAUUCUCAUUGUCACUUGAAAACAUCCACAUUUUGGAAAUGCCUGGGCUAGCGAAGUGUAAUAAUAAAAUUCAUUUCAAUUGGUCAGUCUCGAAGGUUAAUUGAGCAGUUAUACUUUAUUCUAAUUAUUUCUGGCUAACAUUGAAGUGAUGGCAAAGUAGUAAGGAUUUUUGGCCAACUCCUUGGGUUUUUUCCUCUCUGUCAUUUUUUUUUUAAUGACUGCCCAGUGUGGGCAAGGACCUACUACUCAAAGCAGAUGACCUUGGCAGCAGUGUUUCUGAAAUCCUGGGUUCUGGAAUACUUUAAGGCUCUUCGUCACCUUUAAGAGCUGUCCUUAUGAGGCCAGGAAUCUAGCUGAGUUUGGUGUGGGUAGACAAUGGGAUGCUCUGGUUGCCUGGAAACCCUGGUGAACCGAUGGUGACCACAUCCGUUAUAAACCGGGGCCUGAUUCUUAGCAACUUCAAAGGUUUCUGGAGCAGCGCUAGCUGCCAGCUCUUCUUACAUAGAGCAACAGGCAGAAAUCGUUGGUAAUCUGGCAAAUGACAAACUUCAUACCCUAGGAUGUUUACUCUCUCUCUGUAUACUGAAUUUGCACACAAUCUAGAGUUAUUAUUUCCUCACAAAUAAUUUCUAUCUAAUGAAUAAUGAUGUCUUUGUUGUGAGCCGAUAGUCCAAGUAGCAAGUUUCCCCUAGUCAGAAUUAUCUACAACUAUUAUGUGUUUUCGCACUCAAACUUUUCUUACAGAAACAAAAACUUUUAUUAAAAUAGUUAGAAAUUAUUUUAAAAUUAGCAUAUAAAAUAAAGAAUGCAAUAUUCAAGCAGGAUACCCAUAAGCCAUUUCAAGCAUAAUUUAUGGUUACAUAGACAAUUUAAACAAUUAGGGAUUUUCCCCCACUGACUAUUAAUUCUUUUUAACGAUGGUUUUUCUCUCUCUGUUCCUCCCAAGCUAAAAAGCACAAGUUAUUUAUCUUUCCUGGUUUGUUCACUAUUUUCCAGGAUUUAUUUACAACCCCCUAAAAACGAGUGUUGAAACUCUUGCAUCUGCCCUAUUUCUGUUUACUCUACCCUUAUCUCCAGCUGGAAAACCAUAAGGAAAAGGAAUUUAAAGAAAAUUCUAAAUUCAUUACUCCCACUCUCUUCCUAUCUCACCAUAUUUGACUCAUCAAUAUGUGCUGAGCACUCACCAUGAGACAGACAUUGAGAAACAGGUGAACAAGUGUGGUCCCAGCCCUCCAGGAGCUUACAACCACCUGCGGACGGGGUACCUACAUGUACCCAGGAAAUGAUUAUGUAACGGAGUAAGUGCUAUAAGCACUUAGCCCAGCCUCAAAACUUUGGCGUAUUUUCAUAAGAAGAUGAAAAAAAUGAGGAAAAUUGUAUGAUAGCUUAUUUCAUGUUAACUUCAUGAUGGUCUUUUUCUAGCCAUAGACAUCAUCUUAAAAUCCCUCCUCUCCAACAGGUACUAGAAAUAUUCACUUAUUUACAGUUCUAGUAAGCUGUUAGCAACCACAGAUUUAAUUCUAAAUUAUCCCAUAGAAUGUACCUUUUCACAGAGCUUGAGUUUUAAAAGAAAUCCCAGACAUACUUGGUUCAGCAUUGACCUGUGUGACAUUGACUUGUUAGAGUGCCAUAUAUAUGAGAUCUAUUUUAAAUAUGUGUAUAUGUACAUCUAAUAUAUACAUGUUUCACUCUGGAUAUUAAAUUACAAGUUUGGUAGUGACUUGAGGUGCCAUUAAGAAAUUGGUCUAAGAGACCAAAUAUAAAAGUUGUCAGGCAAUUAGGAAUUGGUGAAAGUUCUUGGACUUGACAAAUGGUAUUAUAAACAAAUAUUGCUGUAGCUUGAGAAGGAUGGACCAACAAAUGUAUGACCACUAGCCAGAAGAAACCAUGGCUGGAGUGUGUCCUGACUUCAGGGGAUGUAAAGAGAAUGUUGGAGUGACUGCAAAGUAGAAUAUAGGAAUCUGCAUCCUCGGAGACUGUACUCUGACAAACCCGUUAUAUCAGAUGCUAUUGCUUUCACCUGUUUGUAGCAGGCCCCUACUCUACUGGCAUCACUAGGUAGGAAUUUGUUUUUCACUUGGCAGGAGGCAGGCCAGGGCUAGUUCAGAGGCCCUACAAUUCCAGGAGAAAUUCCGUUUCCUCUCUCUUCCUCUCUAUCAUCCUUAGCAUCUACUUUUUCCCCUUAUGGUGACAAGAUGACCCCUUUACCUCCAGGCAUCGUGUCUGUAUUCCAUGUAGAAAAGAAGAAGGGCAAAAGGUAUGUACCAGCUGAGUUCAUCCCUUUUUAUAGGAAAACAAUAGCUUGCUAAGGCCUCACCAAGUAGAGUCUACUUCUGUACCACUGGAUAGAACUAGGUCACAUGGCCUGAGCGUUAAAGAAUCUGGGGAGGUGAGAAAUGCUAACAGGGCACAUAGCCCAGGCCCAAACAAAUCCAAGGUAUCUUGUUAAGGCAAAAAGGAGAAAUGGACAUUGGGUAUAGAACCAGUGCUGAUUCCGUCAGUGUUUCCAAUUUUAAAAGAUGUCACCUCACACACUAAUGCAUUCAACUACCCUGUGUUUAUAUACAAUGUAGUACUGUUGUAAAAUAAACAUAUCAAAUCAUUUUUGUAUCUCAGUACUCUUUCCUUCAGUAAAGAGGUAGCAUUUUUGUAAAUGUAUCCAGUAACUUGACCAAUUUUAGAGGCUGUCAAGAAACCCAAUAUUACUUUAUAGUAAUAAAGAUAUAUACUCUACUUCAUUCUGGAUCUUAAUCUCACACUAUGCUAUAUUUUUAAAGGGUUUUGUGUCCUUACUGCUGGAAGUUUAUUUGCUGGCUUAUAAUAAAUGUAUGGCUAACAUUCAGUAAUGCUUUAAUACACAAGACCGGUGUGAAGGUAUUUGAGCAACCCCGGGAAUUGUGGUGAUCUGGGUGGUGAAAGAAGAGGAAGCGUUGGAUGGGCAAUAUAUUUCAAUGAUUAUAUAUGCCUAUCAUUAAAAAGCAUUUAUUAAGCACCUAUAUGCACGUAUCACUGUUGUCAAAGAGAUGUUUUACUCCAAUCAACUCUGGAUUUUAUUAAUCCUUUUACCUAUUUUUUAUAAACUGUUUUUCCACUCAGCAAUAUCUCAACCAGAGUAGACAGAGAGGGGCAGAUAAAGCUCAAACCAGUCAACCUAAUCGUGUUAUUAGCUAUAGUUAAAAGUUUGCUGAGGGAGGAGAUUGAAACUAUUUGUAAAAUGAGGUUUGUGUUUGUGGAUUUCAGUUAUCCCUGCUAUUCCUAGUACCUCUUUCCAUGGACAAUCAAGAGUUGGAUGAAUCUAAAACUAUUGUUUCGGAGCAAGAUUUGGUUGCUAUCUGUCAGAGAUCAUAAUUAGCAUCAAAAAGCAUUUAUUCCACCCUACUUUUUUAAAGGCAUUGUACUAGCUGGUAGCAGUGGGGACAUUUGGAAAAAGUAAUGUUAUAGCAGCCCUCUUACCACAUUGCACAUUUUCUUAGAAAAAGCAAGUAAUGAGUACAUAAGUGUAUAUAACCUUCAACAUGAUGGGAGGAAAGAAUACAAGUGUUUUUUUCCUCAAUAGUUAGAUUCGCAUUCUUAGGAGUCUGGCUGAAGGCAUCAGCCAACGUGUAUCAUCUCAUCCAGUUAUCCCAAAAGGGAAGUUUGAAUGUUCAAUUUACACAAACGUGUUGACUUAGGUUUUGCAAAUGAAGGACUUUUUUCUAAACAUCUCAUGCUAUGCUCCACGUUAGACUCUGCUCUCAGUCUUCCUUUGAUUGCAGCACAAAGAAACUUGACUCUGCCAAUUACUGUGUGACCUUAGGCAAGUCACUCACUUAACCUUUCUGGGCUUCCUUUCCUUCUUCUUAAAGUGGGGGCAGCAAAAUCUACUCUGCAGGGUUGUUAAUGGGGGAAAAAAGGUGACUUUGAAUGUAAAAUCACUUUGUAAAAUGUGACGUGCUAUACUAAUAUAUUAUUGUUUCAUUAAUCCAAACAUCCUAUUGAGGAGUUUUUAUCUGAUGCUGAGCAUCUGAAUGACUUUGAGCUUGGAAUAACUUUGAUGAAGUACCACACGGUCUCAAAGACCAGCCAUCGUUGGCCAGCUAAUUGGAAAAUCUCUGGUUUUGAAGUGAGUUCCAAGGUGGUAUAUAAUGCACUUCUGCUUCAGCCAUCCUAUUUAGGAUAAGCUACUUCGGAAAUAGUCACAAAUCAUUUUCCAGGUUUGCUAUAGUAAAUGGGUACUCAGCCUUCAGAAAGAACAGAAAGGUAGGUAGCCAUUGUCAUCAUUCAUUCAUUUAGUGUAGAGUGUUAUUAAUACCUAUGAAAUGUAUCAGAAGAAACCUUUACAUUUUUAUAUGCAUUUGCCCUUUUAAGGAAUGAAGUAACUAAAAUUAAGAUGACAUUGCUGAAAUGGGUGUGUCAGUCUUCACAAAUUGCUACCACCCAAAAUCUGGUUAUCGUUUUUCCUUUAUUUAUUUAAUUUUUAUUUUGUUUUAUUGAGGUAACAUUGGUUUAUAACAUUAUAUAAAUUUCAAGUGUACAUGAUUAUAUUUUGACUUCUGUAUAGACUACAUCAUGUUCACCACCAAAAGUCUAGUUGCCAUCCAUCACCAUACAUAUGUGCCCUUUACCCCUUUCGCCCUCCCCCUGCCCCCUUCCUCUCUGGUAACCACCAAUUUGUUCUCUCUAUCUAUGUGUUUGUUGGUUUGUUGGUUUAUCUUCUACAAUGUAUGAAAUCAUAUGGUAAUAGUCUCUCUCCCUCUGACUUAUUUCACUUAGCAUAAUACCCUCAAAGUCAUCCCUGUUGUCGCAAAUGGCAGUAUUUUUUUCUUUUUUACCACAUUUUCCUUAUCCAUUCAUCAGUUGAGGGGCAUUAAGUUUGCUUCCAUAUCUUGGCUAUUGUGAUUAAUACUGCAGUGAACACAGGGGUGUAUGUAUCUUUUCAAAUUAGUGUCUUCUCCUUUAUAACCUAAGUUUCAGCUUUGCUCUACUCAAAGGACUCCCAAUGAUGAAAAUAUCAUGUAAUUCUAGCCUAAUAUUUUGCAUUAAAUCAUCCAUGUGCUUUCAACUCUUUGGUUGUUGAUAUCACUAUAAAUCUUCUCUUGGGUACCCAGUUUUUAUAUCAAGCAUUUAUAAACUUCAUAAACAUUUGGUGGAAGAUGUUUUUUAUUAUUAUUUCUUUCUAAAUUUCUGCUCAAUUCUUCUGGUGAUUUGUAGCAGUAGGUGCAUGCUAAAUAACAUCAGGUAUUCCACCAAAGUAUUUUUUAAUGCACGCUUCCAAAAAUUUGUGGGUAAUUUCUAAAAUAGGUUCUGAGCAGAGGGUCUUAGAGAGGAAAAAGGAUCAUUAGUAUCCCUCCUCGGCUAAUUUAGCCAAGUACAUUCCACAACUCUCCCAAUCAGUAUAUUAAGCAGAUGUGGUCUUUGUCCACCUAGUAAGUUGCGUUAGACCUUUCAACACUCUGCAGCCUUUUUAUCACUCAGCUGCCAAGUUCCCUAGGGUAAUCAUAGACAGCUUGUCAAUUUAAUUGCAAAGAAACAGGCUUUCUUGUGACCAUUCCAAUUUUAGCUGCUACUUUAAAUUGUACAUGAUAGUUCUUCCAUGCUGUCUGCCCUUUAAACAGUGUGGAUCUCUGCAAGCCUCUUAAUGGUGAUGGAAAAAGGAGGCAACGCUGAAAAUCUGGCUUGCUGAUAGAGACUGUAACAUGCAUUUUAUUAAGUUGCUGCUUUAGGAGGGGAAGCUUUUCCUUAAGCCCAGUAUGCUGCCAUUACAUCACCUAAAUUAUUUUUUUUCUUUUCAAUCUUCCGCUUUCAUGCACAUUUUCCUCCUUUCUGGGUGAUAGAGGAUUCAUAGGCCAUCUGGAUUCUGAAACAUCUGGACACUGAAUUUCUGCAGAGGAGAAUCAGAGGGAAGAGACGAUCAGUGGUACUGGGUGUCUCUGGAGAGAUUUAAAUCAACGAGGAUAUUUUGGUUGUCUCCCUUUUGGAAAGUUAACACAAAAAGUGAAAGGAAAAAACAGCACCUCAUAGGAACCCAGUGUUUCAAGAAUGCUAAGAGUAUAAAAGACAGUCGGACUUUUAGAUAUAAAUUUAGGUCACUAACUGAAUACGUCUUUAUAUUAGAUAUCAUUUCUAGAAUUUUCCCCUAUUUUUUCAUUGUCAUGCAUUUUUGGAUUUAAUUUAGUUAGAUAUACUUUUAACAGUGCUGAAUUUAGAUACUGCAUCAUUUUUGCAUAACAUAUUUUACCUUAAGCUAUGUAUAAUUCAAUUCAAUAAAAUUUUAUUAAUCAAGUGUUAUAAGUAAAGUCAUAAAACUAACAUAUCAAAAAUGUUCAUGUGUUCAGCUUGAUCGAAAGACUAGAUAUGGGCACCACUUAGGUAAAUCAAGAAGAGUUACUUUUCUAAGAUAUGCAGAAGAAUAUUAGUACAAAGAGAUAAAUAAUGUUUCCCAGGUCAGGUGGAGUUGUAAGCUUGUGAAUCCAAAAAUCAAGAACCAAAAUGAUAACAUAUGUGUGUGAGAAGGUCUUGUUAGACCUUUGGAAAGUCCAGCUGCCCUCCUACAAGCUCAGCUUUAUGUGUAUAUGCAUGUGUGUGUGUGUAUGUGUGUAAGUGUGUGUGUGUGUAAGGAUUUGCACAGAGACAGAGGCUGCCCUGGAAUGUGCAGGGGACCACCUCCUCUGGACCAUGAAUCUCGGUGAUGUACCAUAUAUAAUCUGACUACUCAGUUCAGUACAGUCUAGUCAGGCGUGAGCACAGGGCUUAUUUAUCACUCUCAGCUGUUCCCCGCUAACACAGCCUGGUCCACCAUCUUGACUGAACUUGAGCUGCAGAACCAGAACAAGGAUGAGUCACCCAGAUUGCUCAGCAAAUCACCGCAGCAGGCCCUUAGACCAGUCUUAAAGCUCCUCCUUUGUGUAAAGGCACUAGACUUAGCUGUCAGGCGAGUGUGAAGAGCUGUUCAGAUUCUAUGAUUUAUUUCCCAUGCUAUUGCAAAAUUUUAUUUUUUCUUUCACUAUAUUUUCUCUGGUAAAUAUUUGGGCUGUUAAUAGAUUUUCUUUCCUGAAAAAAUUGAAAUUGCUACUCUUUAAGUACUCUUUAAGAGUACUCUUUAAGAGAUAUGAGUUUGAAGCAACCAGUCUUAUGCGCCUUCACGCAGUUUUCUUGAAGUACGUGAUGCUCUGCCGUAUAUAAAAACAGUUAAGACUGUCAGUUUCUUGAUUUCUAGGAAACCAGAACUGCUCAAAAGAAAAAGAAUCCAACAGUAAAAUUUUAGUAACUACUUUUUUUUAAAAUCAGGCAUACCUACAUUUAAAAAUAAUAACUCUCUGAAAUAAGGGACUACAGACAUAUUCUCUGAUUUCUGCCAGUUCAUUGUGUCCUUAAUUUCCUCUAACUGCGUCUUCAGCGAGCCCCACAAUGAAGUACAAUAUUAGAUGUUCACUUGUAUGAUAUCAACCUUGUAUGAAGAGAAUGAAUAAAAAAUGAAGUUCUUAGCUGUGAUCUAUUUCAGAUUAGCCAUUUUCAUUUAUAAAACUGUUUAUUUUACUUUGUCAGCUUGAAGGUCAAUCUAACUUCAAAUUGCAUAUUGCAGAAUUUCAACAAAGAUAUGAGGCCCAUCGCUGCUCCCUUUAAGACUAAAGGUGAAAAGCUGAGUCUUAACCGGGAUAUUGGGUAGAGCUUUAUGAAAUGGACCAGAUCACAUUGAUAUAAGACUUGCAAAGACACUUCACUUUGAAGUCAAAACAUCAGCGCCUGGACAGGGUGGCAGGUGGCAUCAGUAUUAGCAAGUAUUAAUUGUGGGCAUUAACCCAGGACAAGAAAACACUUGUCACACACUAAGGAAAGAAUGAACAAUAGCCAUCAUAUCAGCUACCGUUUAUUGAACACUUACUGUAUAUCAGGCAUCAUUCUAUGCAUUUUAGAUUAUCUCAUGAUGUCUCCACAAUAACUCUUUGAAGUAGGUACUAUUGCUAUCACAUUUUACAGAUGAAAAAGCUGAGGGACAAGGAAGUUAAGACUCUUGGCCAAGAUCACACAGCAAGUACAUGAGGGAGCAAGGUUUCAAACCCAGGCAGAAAGACUCCAAAACUCAUAUUCUAAAUGACAAGUGGCACCUAAUGGAGCAUUUAACCUGAAAUGUGGAGUCCAAGCAAAACCCCCAUCAUUAAACCAACAGGCUGCCCUCAGAAAUUCCAUGCUCAGGAGGAGCUCAAGAUAUGACAGGUGAACCAAUGCCUCACCAUAAAGUGCCAGGGGAGUGACAGAAAGAGUGACAGACAAAUUAAAGAAUCAUUUUCAGAACUUGAAAAACAAGUUGUUGUGCAGGUAGAAACGUUCUUUUUUUCCACUGGGAUUUAGUGAAGCAGGUCCCACAGCUGCCCAGAAACAUGCGCAAAUGGCCUUUGGAUUGUGCCUUGACAGCCUCUAGUGAGGAAUAACUCUGCUGCCAGCAACUAAGACUAACAGCUCCAAAGUAAAGAAGUAAACAACACUGAGUUUUCCUCGCUCCAAAGAAAGCCUGAGAGGACUCCGUUGCCAUCAGCUCCUGGCUUCCCCUUUGCUUUUUUCACUCUGAAGAUUUGCAGUCAGGAGGCACCUGCUCAGAACAGAGAUUACUCGCAUACGGGAUCAACAGAAGAGAGUGCAAAGGUCCAGGCCAGGAGCCAGCUGUCAUCUAAAGAGGGACUUCAGCUGCAAAGCCUGUCCAAACAUCCAUCACAAACAGGUUUUGGAAGUUUUUAUAUGGGUUUGAGCCAGGUUUUUACCUUAUCCAUAUCCCAAAAAGAUGAUCCAUCCCCGUGCCAGAAACUUUCAAAUAAUAAUAAAAAUUAUUUGAUUAUAAGAAAGAAAGGGAAAAGAAAAUGACCAGGCCUCAAACAGAGAAUGACUCAAACAGAGCCUGAGCAGUUGGGAGGAGUCUCCCCGUUGGAGAAUCUACACCAUAUUACAGACUGAAUUUCAACAAGCUAUUUGGGAUGAUUUCGUGACUAAGCAUGAAGCUGGAAUUAUACUGCCUCCUUGGUCAAAGUGCUGUGGACACUUUCCCUUCAUUAUUUCAGGUUUUUUUCUAUGCUGGCACUUUAUUCAAGCUCACAAAAUAACUGUACUUUGUAAACCACAAAAGAAAAUGUACGCCCUUUUAUUUCUAUUGUGUUGGGAGGAUUUGGUGGGGGGUGUUAAUGUUAACUGUUAUUGAUCAUGUUAUCAUUAUUAUUACCAACUUUAACCUAGUCUUCCAUAUCCAUAUAUUUUGCAUAUGCAAAACAACAAAAGCAAA
ensembl:lncRNA